rnacentral:rRNA from 1 species
GACGAACGCUGGCGGCGUGCUUAACACAUGCAAGUCGAACGGAAAGGCCCUGCUUUUGUGGGGUGCUCGAAUGGCGAACGGGUGAGUAACACGUGAGUAACCUGCCCUUGACUUUGGGAUAACUUCAGGAAACUGGGGCUAAUACCGGAUAGGAGCUCCUGCUGCAUGGUGGGGGUUGGAAAGUUUCGGCGGUUGGGGAUGGACUCGCGGCUUAUCAGCUUGUUGGUGGGGUAGUGGCUUACCAAGGCUUUGACGGGUAGCCGGCCUGAGAGGGUGACCGGCCACAUUGGGACUGAGAUACGGCCCAGACUCCUACGGGAGGCAGCGGUGGGGAAUAUUGCACAAUGGGCGGAAGCCUGAUGCAGCAACGCCGCGUGCGGGAUGACGGCCUUCGGGUUGUAAACCGCUUUCGCCUGUGACGAAGCGUGAGUGACGGUAAUGAGUAAAGAAGCACCGGCUAACUACGUG